GACAUCUUGUUUAUCUCUUUGUGU
rnacentral:siRNA from 1 species